rnacentral:rRNA from 1 species
CCUACGUGGUGCAGCAGUGGGGAAUAUUGCACAAUGGGGGAAACCCUGAUGCAGCAACGCCGCGUGAGUGAAGCAGUAUUUCGGUAUGUAAAGCUCUAUCAGCAGGGAAGAGAAUGACGGUACCUGACUAAGAAGCCCCGGCUAACUACGUGCCAGCAGCCGCGGUAAUACGUAGGGGGCGAGCGUUAUCCGGAUUUACUGGGUGUAAAGGGAGCGUAGACGGUUCUGCAAGUCUGAAGUGAAAGCCCGUGGCUUAACCGCGGAACGGCUUUGGAAACUGUGGAACUGGAGUGCUGGAGAGGCAAGCGGAAUGCCUAGUGUAGCGGUGAAAGCCGGAGAUAUCUGGAGGAACAUCAGUGGCGAAGGCGACUAUCUGGCACAUAACUGACGCUGAGGAGCGAAAGCGUGGGUAGCAAACAGGAUUAGAUACCCUAGUAGUC